GCCCAUCUGGGCAGAGGGAUCCUCCUCCCGUCGGGACUGUUGUAAAGCUGCCAGGAAUAAACCUGUGGAAGCUUUAGAGAAGCUUUGAAUGAGCCUGGAGGAAUCCUGGAUGGCUCCUGGAUGACUCACACAGCUCUCUGGGAUGGAAGAGACCCCCAAGGAUCAUCCAGUUCUAAUCCAUCUGCCACGGGUAGGAACAUCUCACACCAGCUUCACUUUUCCAGCCAGUUGGCCACUUGAGUUGCCUCUGCCUGCGACAACUGAACCACAAGGCUGAAUGGAAAGGAAGUGGUGCAGCACACACCCUGGGCUGGGGAAAAGAUACCAGGGUGGUGUUGGCUGACAGCAGCAGAUACUUCAGCACCCAUAAAGAUGGUGGGGAGCCUCAUGUUUGAGCCCUCCAAAAUGCUGUGCAGUGUCUGUUUAGCCAUGCCUGAGUGCAGGGAUUCUGCCAGUAAAAUAAACAGUGUUAGGAGAAUCGUAAAGGCUCAGGGUAGAAGGGACCUUAGAGAUCAUCUACUCCAACCUCCCCCACCAUGAGCAGAGAUGCUUCUCUACUAGAUUGGG